GAUGAACGCUGGCGGCGUGCCUAAUACAUGCAAGCCGAGCGAACAGACGAGGAGCUUGCUCCUCUGACGUUAGCGGCGGACGGGUGAGUAACACGUGGAUAACCUACCUAUAAGACUGGGAUAACUUCGGGAAACCGGAGCUAAUACCGGAUAAUAUAUUGAACCGCAUGGUUCAAUAGUGAAAGACGGUUUUGCUGUCACUUAUAGAUGGAUCCGCGCCGCAUUAGCUAGUUGGUAAGGUAACGGCUUACCAAGGCAACGAUGCGUAGCCGACCUGAGAGGGUGAUCGGCCACACUGGAACUGAGACACGGUCCAGACUCCUACGGGAGGCAGCAGUAGGGAAUCUUCCGCAAUGGGCGAAAGCCUGACGGAGCAACGCCGCGUGAGUGAUGAAGGUCUUCGGAUCGUAAAACUCUGUUAUUAGGGAAGAACAAAUGUGUAAGUAACUAUACACGUCUUGACGGUACCUAAUCAGAAAGCCACGGCUAACUACG
rnacentral:rRNA from 1 species